AUGUCGACUUGGAGGUUGUUCCCUUGAGGAGUGGCUUCCGGAGCUAACGCGUUAAGUCGACCGCCUGGGGAGUACGGCCGCAAGGUUAAAACUCAAAUGAAUUGACGGGGGCCCGCACAAGCGGUGGAGCAUGUGGUUUAAUUCGAUGCAACGCGAAGAACCUUACCUACUCUUGACAUCCACAGAAUUCGGCAGAGAUGCCUUAGUGCCUUCGGGAACUGUGAGACAGGUGCUGCAUGGCUGUCGUCAG
rnacentral:rRNA from 1 species